rnacentral:lncRNA from 1 species
GACCCACCUGGAAGCGCCGCGGCGCCGCUAUCGAGCUUCCUGCAGCGGUGGCCACCCGAGCAAGUGCCGUGGCGGGGGCGGAGAGCGGCCACGGCGGCGGCGCCUCCCCAAGUGGCCCGUUGCGUCCGACCCCGCGUGAAAGAUAUCAAGUUAUUCUAGUACAACCAUAUAAAUAAAUAAUACCUGAAGUCUCAGUGUAACAUGGACAAUUAACAGUGAUGACAGAUAAAUACAGACGCAUGGGGAUCAAAUACUAGGCAAAACGCUUUUUAAAAGUGUAUCAGGCUUUUAAGAAACACUGCAGGAUCCUGUCUAUCUUAAUGCUGAUAGAGCUCAGCUAAAAAUUUAGGAGGUUCUAGUAUUCUUCAUGGCUGAAGCUGAGAGAGUCUGAAACCCUGAUGCUUAAGCUCCAUUCUAGAUCAUAGCUCCAACUCCUUCAGGAUAUAAGGAAAAGAGAUUAUAUUUCCACAAUGAUAGAUCUUUGGUUGUACAGGUUUCCCAAUGAGUGGAUCAUGAUGACCGUAUUGUAGGGACUUGCCAUAGUAUGGCUGCUUCCCGAUCUACUCGUGUUACAAGAUCAACAGUGG